UGAGACCAAGUCUCACUCUGUUGCCCAGGCUGGAAUGCAGUGGCAUGAGCUCAUGAGUUUUUGUUUUAGUUAUCUAUGAUUCAUCAUUUAGAUUGAUAAGACCCCUUGUAAAAUCCAGUUUUUUGGUUUUUGUUUCUGCUGCAGGAAUCAGAACAAAACUCACUUUCUAGAUAACAUCAAAGGUUAAACUUUGUGCAUAGGCUUUUUUUUUCAAGGAUAUGCAGCCUCAGGACUGUUAAUGUUAACUUUUUCUGCACAGGAAUUUGGAGGACUUUUAUGGCAGGUGCUGUACUCCCACUUUACAAACAAACAUUGGGGCAGCCCAGGCAGCACACCUUUCUGGAUUUACCAAAAAUACACAUUUUCCUAUUCUACUGUUGCUUUACCACAUGGUUCAGUUGUAGCCUCAGAAUUACUUUAUAGAAGAAACUGAGUGUAGACAGAGAGUAUGAGGUCUGAUGGUCAUGGAAUAAUUGUUUUGAGUCCACAGCAUCAUGGGAACUUCUUGGGAAUAGAGUCUAGGCUCCCAGUGCUGUUAGUCUUACCCAUCCUCCUCUAUGCAUGUGAGAUGUUUCAGGAUUCAGUGGCCUUUGAGGAUGUGGCUGUGACCUUCACCCAAGAGGAAUGGGCUUUGCUGGAUCCUUCCCAGAAAACUCUCUAUAGAGAUGUGAUGCAAGAAACCUUCAGGAACCUGGCCUCUGUAGGGAAAAAAUGGAAAGCCCAGAACAUAUAUGUAGAGUACGAAAAUCUAAAGAGAAACCUAAGAACUUUUGUGGGAGAGAGACUCUUUGAAAGUAAAGAAGGUCAUCAGCAUGGAGAAAUUUUGACCCUGGUUCCAGAUGACAUGCUGAAGAAGAAAACAACUACUGGAGUAAAAUCGUGCAGAAGCAGUGUGUAUGGAAAAGUAGGCAGUGCUCAUUCAUCUCUUAAUAGGCCCAUCAGAGAUGACACUGGACACAAGGCAUAUGAGUAUCAAGAAUAUGGACAGAAACCAUACAAAUGUAAAUACUGUAAAAAACCUUUCAACUGUCUCACCUCUGUUCAGACACACGAAAGGGCUCAUAGUGGAAGGAAACUCUAUGUUUGUGAGGAAUGCAGAAGAACAUUUAUUUCCCAUUCAAGCCUUCAAAGACACAUGAUAAUGCACAGUGGAGAUGGGCCUUAUAAGUGUAAAUUUUGUGGGAAAGCUUUGAUGUUUCUCAGUUUGUAUCUUAUCCACAAACGGACUCACACUGGAGAGAAACCAUAUGAAUGUAAACAGUGUGGGAAAGCCUUUAGUCAUUCUAGUAGCCUUCGAAUACAUGAAAGAACUCACACUGGGGAAAAGCCUUAUGAAUGUAAUGAAUGUGGGAAAGCAUUCCACAGUUCCACAUGCCUCCAUGCUCAUAAAAGAACUCACACUGGGGAGAAGCCAUAUGAAUGUAAACAGUGUGGGAAAGCCUUCAGCUCUUUCCAUUCCUUUCAAAUACAUGAAAGAACUCACACUGGGGAGAAGCCAUAUGAAUGUAAGGAAUGUGGAAAAGCCUUCAAGUGUCCCAGUUCUGUUCGAAGACACGAAAGAACCCACUCUAGGAAAAAACCCUAUGAAUGUAAACAUUGUGGGAAAGUAUUAUCUUAUCUUACCAGCUUUCAGAACCACCUGGGAAUGCACACUGGAGAGAUAUCUCAUAAAUGUAAGAUAUGUGGCAAAGCCUUUUAUUCUCCCAGUUCACUUCAAACACAUGAAAAAACUCACACUGGAGAGAAACCAUACAAAUGCAACCAAUGUGGUAAAGCCUUUAAUUCUUCCAGUUCCUUUCGGUAUCAUGAAAGGACUCACACUGGAGAGAAACCUUAUGAGUGUAAGCAGUGUGGGAAAGCCUUCAGAUCUGCCUCACUCCUUCAAACGCAUGGUAGGACUCACACGGGAGAGAAACCCUAUGCAUGUAAGGAAUGUGGAAAACCAUUUAGUAAUUUCUCUUUCUUUCAAAUACAUGAAAGGAUGCACAGAGAAGAGAAGCCAUAUGAAUGUAAGGGUUAUGGGAAAGCAUUCGGUUUGCCCAGUUUAUUUCAUAGACAUGAAAGGACUCACACUGGAAGGAAAACCUAUGAAUGCAAGCAGUGUGGCAGAUCCUUCAAUUGUUCGAGUUCCUUUCGAUAUCAUGGAAGGACUCACACUGGAGAAAAACCCUAUGAAUGCAAGCAAUGUGGAAAAGCCUUCAGAUCUGCCUCACAGCUUCAAAUCCACGGAAGGACUCACACUGGAGAGAAACCUUAUGAAUGUAAGCAGUGUGGGAAAGCCUUUGGAUCUGCCUCACACCUUCAAAUGCAUGGAAGGACUCACACUGGAGAGAAACCCUAUGAAUGUAAGCAGUGUGGGAAAUCUUUUGGAUGUGCCUCGCGACUUCAAAUGCAUGGAAGGACUCACACUGGAGAGAAACCGUAUAAAUGUAAGCAAUGUGGGAAAGCUUUUGGAUGUCCCUCAAACCUUCGAAGGCAUGGAAGGACUCACACUGGAGAGAAACCGUAUAAAUGUAAGCAAUGUGGGAAAGACUUUAGAUGUUCUUCACAACUUCAAGUGCAUGGAAGGACUCACUGCAUAGACACCCAUAACCCCAGGCUUUAGGAGGCUGAGGUGGGAGGACUGCUUAAGCCUAGGAGUUCAAGACCAGCCUGGGCAAAAUGCUACCAAACAGGGAAGGGCCCCCUGUCCGGUGGACACGUGACUCGCGUGACCUUACCUAUCAUUGGAGCUGGCUCACACUUCAUACCGUCCCCCCUUGUCUUGUAUCCAAUAAAUAACAGCGCAGCCAGACAUUCGGAGCCACUACCGGUCUCCACAUCUAAGUGGUAGUGGUCCCCCGGGGCCAGCUGUCUUUUCUUCUAUGUCUUUGUUUUGUGUCUUUAUUUCUACCAUCUCUCAUCUCCGCACAUGAGGAGAAAAACCCACAGGCCCAGUAGGGCUGGACCCUACAACUGGCGCUCCAACGUGGGUUUCUCCCUCACUGUGUGAAGUUGCGCUUUGAGCGCAGGACUCAGCAAAGGAUUUCAACCACAGAUUCCUGAGGAUUGUGGUCAAUAAGCUUGGUGGUAAGCUUGGGCACUCAGAGUAUCCCGGGGACACCAUGGGACUGGCCAGUACUAAGUACUCAGCUUAUUUAAACUUUAUAAAAACUCUCCUUAAAGAAGGAGGUGUAAAAGUUUCUACUGAUAAGUUAAUUGAAUUGUUUGAGGUUGUAGAUCUUCCUUGCCCUUGGUUUCCAACUGAGGGAACUUUAGAAUUUAAAGAUUGGGAUGAGAUUGGCAGACAAUUCAAAAUUGCUCAUAAAGGGGGACACGUUAUUCCGCCCACUAUUUGGCCAAUCUGGGCUUCGGUUCGCUCUGUCCUAGACUCCUUACAGACUCAGGAGGGCAACAUGGAGACUGAUCCCUUUCCUCUCCUCUAAGGAGGCUGAGGAAGUUCUCAGUUCUCUUUCCCCUGAGGAUACUGCGCAGAUUGAGGCCGUAAUUCUACAGGUGGACUUCCACUCUGACAUUCCUGUGCCACCGCCGCCUACUGCAGAGCCUGCUGCGCCCCCAUUAUCGCUUUAUGAUGAACUUUUAACUGAUCUCAAUGAGCUUAUUUCCCCCAACCAGCAAAAUCCAGCUGAAACAUAUUAUCAACAGCCUUCACGGUCAGACCCUCCUACCUUUCCUCACACUCUCAACUCUCCAGCUAUGCAGAUAGAAGAUGACAUGAUGCAGCCUGAAAAAGGGGCUCUAAACUGUUUCCAUGCAGCCUGAUACAGAGGCUCCGAUUUCUACACAGCCUGGUGAAGAGGCUCUCAAUUCUUGGCCCGGUAAUGAGGCCCUCAACCCUAUCUCUGUUCACCCUGCUGUAGGGUUCUCAACCUUCUGCUGUUCCGCCCAGUAACGAGACCCUCAACCCUAUCUCUCCGCAGCCUAGUUUUUCAUUUCUCAUGCCUGUUUCUCUUUCGGCAACUC